GAUGAACGCUGGCGGCGUGCCUAAUACAUGCAAGUCGAGCGGUAACACUUCGGGUGACGAGCGGCGAACGGCUGAGUAACGCGUGAGAAUCCACCCCAAAGUGAGGGAUAAGCAUCGGAAACGGUGUCUAAUACCGCAUGUGGUCUUCGGAUUAAAGUUUUAUACGCUUUGGGAGGAGCUCGCGUACGAUUAGAUAGUUGGUGAGGUAAUGGCUCACCAAGUCGACGAUCGUUAGCUGGUCUGAGAGGAUGAUCAGCCAGACUGGAACUGAGACACGGUCCAGACUCCUACGGGAGGCAGCAGUAAGGAAUCUUCCACAAUGGGCGAAAGCCUGAUGGAGCAACGCCGCGUGCAGGACGAAGGCUUUCGGGUCGUAAACUGCUUUUGUUAGCGAAGAAUUUGACGGUAACUAACGAAUAAGGAUCGGCUAACUCCGUGCCAGCCGCCAGCGAUCA
rnacentral:rRNA from 1 species